UAUCCGUUCAGUGGCGGACGGGUGCGUAACACGUGAACAAUCUGCCCGGAAGAGGGGGAUAGCCCAGGGAAACUUGGAUUAAUACCCCGUGUGGCACAGGCUGGCAUCAGUCUGUUGCGGAAGGUGCUGAAAGGUGCCGCUUCCGGAUGAGUUCGCGGCCUAUCAGCUAGUUGGCGGGGUAACGGCCCACCAAGGCAACGACGGGUAGCUGGUCUGAGAGGAUGACCAGCCACACUGGAACUGAGACACGGUCCAGACACCUACGGGUGGCAGCAGUCGAGAAUCAUUCACAAUGGGCGAAAGCCUGAUGGUGUGACGCCGCGUGGAGGAUGAAGGUCUUCGGAUUGUAAACUCCUGUCAAGUGAGAGUAAAGCCGGGCGUUAACUGCGAGCCGGUUUGAGAGUAUCACUAGAGGAAGGGACGGCUAACUUCGUGCCAGCAGCCGCGGUAAUACGAAGGUCCCGAGCGUUGUUCGGAAUCACUGGGCGUAAAGGGAGCGU
rnacentral:rRNA from 1 species